UACGUAGGGUGCGAGCGUUAAUCGGAAUUACUGGGCGUAAAGUGUGCGCAGGCGGUUGAGCAAGUCGAGUGUGAAAGCCCCGGGCUUAACUUGGGAAUUGCGCUCGAAACUACUUGACUGGAGUGUGGCAGAGGAAGGUGGAAUUCCACGUGUAGCGGUGAAAUGCGUAGAGAUGUGGAGGAACACCAAUGGCGAAGGCAGCCUUCUGGGCCAACACUGACGCUCAUGCACGAAAGCGUGGGGAGCAAACAGG
rnacentral:rRNA from 1 species